rnacentral:rRNA from 1 species
AACUGGAAGAGACACAGGGAUGCCUCAGUAACGGCGAGUGAAGCGGCAAGAGCUCAAAUUUGAAAUCUGGCCCCCCGGGUCCGAGUUGUAAUUUGUAGAGGAUGCUUCGGGCGUAGGUCCGGCCUAAGUCCCUUGGCACAGGGCGUCAUAGAGGGUGAGAACCCCGUAUGCGGCCGGGUGCCUAAACCCUUGUGAAGCUCCCUCGACGAGUCGAGUUGUUUGGGAUUGCAGCUCAAAAUGGGUGGUAAAUUUCAUCUAAAGCUAAAUACCGGCCAGAGACCGAUAGCGCACAAGUAGAGUGAUCGAAAGAUGAAAAGCACUUUGGAAAGAGAGUUAAAAGUACGUGAAAUUGUUGAAAGGGAAGCGCUUGCGACCAGACUUGGGCGCGGCCGAUCACCCGGCGUUCUCGCCGGUGCACUCGGCCGCGUGCCAGGCCAGCAUCGGUUCCGGCGGCCAGACAAAGGCCGGGCGAACGUGGCUCCCUCCGGGAGUGUUAUAGCGCCCGGCGCCAUGUGGCCUGCUGGGACCGAGGACCGCGCCUCUGGCUAGGAUGCUGGCGUAAUGGUCGCAAGCGACCCGUCUUGAAACACGGACCAAGGAGUGGAAUAAUCAUGCGAGUGUUUGGGCGUAAAACCCAUGCGCGGAAUGAAAGUGAACGGAGGUGAGAUCCCGCCAGGGCGCAUCAUCGACCGAUCCUGAUGUCUUCGGAUGGAUUUGAGUAAGAGCAUGGCUGUUCCGACCCGAAAGAUGGUGAACUAUGCGUGGAUAGGGUGAAGCCAGAGGAAACUCUGGUGGAGGCUCGCAGCGGUUCUGACGUGCAAAUCGAUCGUCAAAUCUGUGCAUAGGGGCGAAAGACUAAUCGAACCAUCUAGUAGCUGGUUCCUGCCGAAGUCCCCCCCCUCAGGA